rnacentral:tRNA from 1 species
GCGCCCGUAGCUCAACGGAUAGAGCAGUGGAUUCCGGAUCCACGUGUGAAGGUUCGAUUCCUUUCGGGCGCA